rnacentral:rRNA from 1 species
UACGGAGGGGGUUAGCGUUGUUCGGAAUUACUGGGCGUAAAGCGUCACGUAGGCGGACUUUAAGUCAGAUGUGAAAUCCCCGGGCUCAACCUCGGAACUGCAUUUGAAACUGGAAGUCUGGAGUUCAGGAGAGGUUAGCGGAAUACCGAGUGUAGAGGUGAAAUUCGUAGAUAUUCGGUGGAACACCAGUGGCGAAGGCGGCUAACUGGACUGAUACUGACGCUGAGGUGCGAAAGUGUGGGGAGCAAACAGGAUUAGAUACCCCCGUAGU